rnacentral:lncRNA from 1 species
UUUCUUAUAUUAUCUUCCACCAUGGUCUAUCCCAAGAGACUCAAUAUAGCUCCCUGUGCUAUACAGCAAGAUCUCAUUGCCUAUCCAUUCCAAAUGUAAUAGUUUGUGUCGCUCAACUGCCAAUUCCCUGUCUAUCCCACUUCCUCCCUCCUCUCCCUUGGUAGCCACAAGUCUGUUCUCUACGUUCCUGAAUCUGUUUCUGUUUUGUAGAUAAGAUCAUUUGUGCCAUAUUUUAGAUUUCACGUAUAAGUGAUAUCAUAUGAUAUUUGUCUUUCUCUUUCUGACUUACUUCACUUAUUAUGAAACUCUCUAGUUGCAUCCAUGUUGAUACAAAUGGCAUUAUUUUGUCCUGUUUAUGGCUGAGUAGUAUUCCAUUGUACAUAUGUACCACAUCUUCUUAAUCCAUUUAUCUGUUGAUGGACAUUUAGGUUGUUUCCAUGUCUUGGCUGUUGUGACUAAUGCUGCAGUGAACAUAGGGGUGCAUGUAUCUUUUUCAAGGAAAGUUUUGUCUGGAUAUAUGCCCAGGAAUAGGAUUGAUGGAUCCAUCAUAGGGUAGUUCUAUAUUUGGUUUUCUGAGGAACCUCCAUGCUGUUUUCCAUAGUGGUUGUACCAAUUUACAUUCUCACCAAGAGUAUAGGAAGGUUCCCUUUUUUCCACACCCAGAAAGAGGGGUCUUUUGACUCUGCUUAUUCUAACUAUUCUUGGGGCCAAACCAGGAAAACUGAUUAAACAUAAAUUUCUCAUGAUGUAAGAGAGAGUUUCAAAAGUUAGAGGAAUCCAUCCUGUAGAUACCUUAAUAAGGGAAUUUGUAAUGCAUACUGAAUGGGUCACCCAUUUGAUUCAUUUCUUAUAGUGGUGAUGUAAAAGAUUAUAUUCCAGUUGAUCAUGCAAAGGGAAAUGCAAUUCAAAAUAGGUUUUAGGAUUUAAAAGUUGGAUUUUUAUUAGUGUUGUACAUUCAGUGUGGUAUUCAGAGAUAAAGCCACUUCUGAAUGAGUUUAGAAAGAGUGACUAGUACAUGUUGCAGUAGGGAGGAACCACAAAAGUGUGCUAAAUGGAAAAUGCUAGAUUCAAAAGACCAUGCAGUGAUGCACUUGGGCUCAAGGUUUCUUUCUGGGUUGAUAGAAAUGUUUUUGAAAUUAGACUGCUUUGAUGGCUGCAACAAUUCCAUAAACUUGAUUAAAAAUAAAAUUCUUGAAAAUAGAGGAAUAGGAGCUCAAAUGAAUAUGUGUAAGGUUUUGUUUUUGUUUUAGCAACUCCCAAAUGAGCAGAGUUUUUUCUCCCCUAUGGAAUGUCCUAAGCCUUAGCUCAGUCAAGAAGUGUUUAUCAAGUACCAACUCCGAAAAAUAAAGUUGAAUAAAAUAGGGAAUAUGGAGUGAUUCACCAUGAUGCCCAAGGGAAACACUCCCCGUAGUAUUUUGGAAUAUAUAAUAGAAUUGAUUAUAUGCCUUUUUCAUUUGAAUGCCAGUCCAAUAUCUCAUUUACUGUUACAUAAUCUUAGAGGCAAGAAGCUUUUCUGAAACAUUGAACCAUUGAGCUGAGCUCUUUGGAUCUGUGGAUUUGAACUCACCAUCAGCAAUUAGUGUCUAUAGUUAUGUAGAAAUUGGGUUGAACUUCAGCUGAUGUACUGAUAUACCUUUGAAGUUUAUUGCAUAAUAUACUAAUACAUCUUUGAAGAUCUCUGUCCUAGAAACUGCUUGAACUGACUCCAAACAAUUCUGGCUAAAUAAAUUACUCAUAUUUAAGUAAUUUUAAAUUUAUUUUUUGAAAUUAGGAGUUUUAAAAAGUAGUAUAUGAUAUAAUGCUUGAAUUUUUCUCCUGUACUUCCCUACCCUGUCAAGAAUAGGAAGACUCAACUUUUGGUAAGCACCCCACCAUUUUUAUUCAUUGACCAAAUACUUAAUGAUGCUCUGCACAUGUCAGAUGUCAUUCUUGGUGCUAGAGAUUGACAAAAGACAGUGAAGGUCCUUGCCCUGCUGGAAUCAGCAAUCUAAUAGGGAAACAGGAAAUAAAGAAUCGUGGUGACUGGAGUUCCCACUCUGGUGCUGUAGGUUAAAGAUCUGGCUUGUCUCUAUGGAGGUGCAGGUUCAAUGCAGCAGCUGAGGUGUAGGUUGCAGCUCCGGAUCCAGUUUGAUCCCUGGCGCAGAAACUUCCAUAUGCUGC